AUGGCCCCUCCCUCUAGAGCAGCUUUGAAGCGCCCCAUGGAAAACGAUGAAGACAAUGUUCUUACCAGGUCAGCUAGAGCUAAGAAGGCAAAGAACGUGUCAACUCCUUCGGCGUCUGUGCCCCUACCGCUCCUACGUCAUCCUCACCCCCCUGCGGACGAUGACGUUGUUGUCGAUGCAGCCAAAGCAUUGCGCAGCUUCUUCAACAUUGUUGAUUCUGUCCCAGCUCAGAAUCUCCUAAUGCUCCACUUUGCUUCUAAGGCAGCUAUCUGUAGCAAGCUCUUCAUGGCUACGAUUGCUCUCAUGGCUUUGCUUGGCCACAAGCGCUACAACAUAUCAAAGAGCCCAGCCGGUGUUUUGUAUGUUUCUACUCGAAGCAUCGAGGACGCCGUGAUGCUCGAAUCGCAAGUGCAUGUUGUGUUCGAUGUCAUACUGUCCUUCCAUCGCGUGUCUACGGUCGACCGCGAGUUUUGUUAUGCACGCGGCGAAGCUGCUGCAUUCAAGUUGUAUGAGCACGACCGUUUCUGA
rnacentral:rRNA from 1 species